CCACUGCGCCACGGACGCACAAUAUUUGGCAUAACUUUUUUGUAAAUCAAGAAGCUCGUUUUGAUCAGUUUAGAAAAUUAAAAUGUUUAAAUAGAGGUAAGCGCUAGAAAAAGAAUAAGCUAAAACAAAGUGAAGUUACAUUAUAUUUUUAAACAUAUUAGUUGAGGUUGAGAGUUUAUGUUCACUUAUUUUAGUUUAAAAGACAUCUUUGUCAGACACUUGUCUCAGAAACCCUUAGCUAUUCAAAGGCGUCUAAAUUUUAUUACGCAUAAUACAGGUCUUUAAACGUCUUUAAAAAACGCUGAGAAGAGAAAUGUUUUUUUUAAAUAUUGUUACUCUGUAAAAGUUACUGGUAUAUCUGUUACUUCAAUAAAGUUUUCAUUCUAUUUAUAAAAUUUUUUUUUUUUUUUUCCAACCUACUAUUUGUUUAACUUUCUACGGGUAAUACUAAUAUGAAAACAAUUUUUAUUGUUUUUUGAUUUAUACUCUGGUAAAAUAUUCGUUUUCUUAUUUUAAUUUAUAGUUAAAACAUAUAUUUUAUCAUUAUUUUAUUUUAUGGUUUAUUUUCAAGAGAAGGCAGAGACACCAACAAAAAGCUUUGAAGUUAAUGAUAGUGAAGAGGAGGCAGAUAAUUAUAAAAAUCUUUGCAGCUAAAGACAGUGAAGAAGGCAGAGAAGCCAAUAAAAACCAUUGUAGUUGAAGAUAGUGAAUAAUCGAAUCGAAGUACUGUAACCAGCUGGGCUACUCUCACUGGAUGAAUUGCCAAUUAAAACUGAUUUAAUACAAAGACAGCAUAAGAAAGAGCUCUUUAAACAAGAUAUGCUAAUAUGCUGUCUGGUGGAAAAAUUUCAUUUGACCCUUGCAAUAAUCAAACCAGGUAAUAAAACAAUUCACUCUAUGGACCCUAUGGGAGAACAGACAAAUUCCAUCAAAAAAGAAGAAGUGAAAUGGAAUUGUUACUUACAACAAAGAUAUGGUGUUUCAGAAAAGUUUGAAAUAUUAACAUUACCAAAUGCCAUACAAGCUGAAGUUUGCUGAAAGUUAUACAAAUGGAGAAGUAUUAAUGCUUUCCACAUGAAGAAGCAUACAGAAAGAGAGAUAAAGGAGGUCAGAAAAGUUGGCAGAAUAGUUUGUGUCGCAUUUGUGGAAGUGAAAUUGGUCCGAAAUCUAGAAAAAAUCAAAAAAAAAUUAAAUGAAUCAAAUGUGAUAUAUGCAUUUAAAUUGAUGGUACCGUAUGAGAUGCAUUGUUUUUAGAAAUGAAAUACAAAUAAAUACAAAUGUAUUAAAUAUAUAUAUAUUAAAUAAUAAAUGAAACUUUGAAAAUUGC
rnacentral:lncRNA from 1 species